rnacentral:rRNA from 1 species
GAUCCUGGCUCAGGAUGAACGCUAGCUACAGGCUUAACACAUGCAAGUCGAGCGGAACUGCUUCGGCAGUUUAGCGGCAGACGGGUGAGUAACACGUAUCCAACCUUCCCUUACUCGGGUAUAGCCUCGGGAAACUGAGAGUAAUCCCCGAUGUGGUGUACGCUUCGCAUGUAAUGCACACCAAAGAUUAAUCGGUAAGGGAUGGGGAUGCGUUCCAUUAGCUAGUAGGCGGGGUAACGGCCCACCUAGGCGAUGAUGGAUAGGGGUUCUGAGAGGAAGGUCCCCCACAUUGGAACUGCGACACGGUCCAAACUCCUACGGGAGGCAGCAGUGAGGAAUAUUGGUCAAUGGCCGAGAGGCUGAACCAGCCAAGUAGCGUGCAGGAUGACGGCCCUACGGGUUGUAAACUGCUUUUGUGCGGGAAUAACGGUCGACACGUGUGUUGAUGUGCAUGUACCGUACGAAUAAGGAUCGGCUAACUCCGUGCCAGCCGCGGC